rnacentral:rRNA from 1 species
AUUGAACGCUGGCGGCAUGCCUUACACAUGCAAGUCGAACGGCAGCACGGGAGCAAUCCUGGUGGCGAGUGGCGAACGGGUGAGUAAUAUAUCGGAACGUGCCCGGUCGUGGGGGAUAACGUAGCGAAAGCUACGCUAAUACCGCAUACGAUCUACGGAUGAAAGCGGGGGAUCGCAAGACCUCGCGCGAUUGGAGCGGCCGAUAUCAGAUUAGGUAGUUGGUGAGGUAAAGGGACUCACCAAGCCGACGGAUCUGUAGCUGGUCUGAGAGGACGACCA